rnacentral:rRNA from 1 species
UGAGGAAUAUUGGUCAAUGGGCGAGAGCCUGAACCAGCCAAGUAGCGUGCAGGAUGACGGCCCUAUGGGUUGUAAACUGCUUUUGUUUGGGAAUAAUCGACAUUACGUGUAAUGUUUUGCAUGUACCAUUCGAAUAAGGACCGGCUAAUUCCGUGCCAGCAGCCGCGGUAAUACGGAAGGUCCAGGCGUUAUCCGGAUUUAUUGGGUUUAAAGGGAGUGUAGGCGGUUGGUUAAGCGUGUUGUGAAAUGUAGAUGCUCAACAUCUGACUUGCAGCGCGAACUGGCUGACUUGAGUACGCACAGCGUAGGCGGAAUUCAUGGUGUAGCGGUGAAAUGCUUAGAUAUCAUGAAGAACUCCGAUUGCGAAGGCAGCUUACGGGAGUGUUACUGACGCUUACGCUCGAAGGUGCGGGUAUCGAACAGG